rnacentral:misc_RNA from 1 species
CUGAGUACUACACUCUCUACCCUUUGUGAACUAUUAUACCUGUUGCUUCGGCGGCGCCCGCAAGGGUGCCCGCCGGUCUCAUCAGAAUCUCUGUUUUCGAGCCCGACGAUACUUCUGAGUGUUCUUAGCGAACUGUCA